UACGAAGGGGGCUAGCGUUGUUCGGAAUUACUGGGCGUAAAGGGCGCGUAGGCGGUGUGUCAAGUCAGGCGUGAAAGCCCCGGGCUCAACCUGGGAACCGCGCUUGAGACUGGCACGCUCGAGUUCGGGAGAGGAUGGUGGAAUUCCCAGUGUAGAGGUGAAAUUCGUGGAUAUUGGGAAGAACACCGAUGGCGAAGGCAGCCAUCUGGACCGACACUGACGCUGAGGCGCGAAAGCGUGGGGAGCAAACAGG
rnacentral:rRNA from 1 species